GCCUUCGUGGUGUAGUGGUCAGCACGCUCGACGCGUAACCGAGAGGUCCGUGGUUCGAUUCCAGGCGAAGGCA
rnacentral:tRNA from 1 species